AGAGUUUGAUCCUGGCUCAGGAUGAACGCUAGCUACAGGCUUAACACAUGCAAGUCGAGGGGAAACGAUAUUGGAAGCUUGCUUCCGAUAGGCGUCGACCGGCGCACGGGUGAGUAACGCGUAUCCAACCUGCCCACCACUUGGGGAUAACCUUGCGAAAGUAAGACUAAUACCCAAUGACGUCUCUAGAAGACAUCUGAAGGAGAUUAAAGAUUUAUCGGUGAUGGAUGGGGAUGCGUCUGAUUAGCUUGUUGGCGGGGUAACGGCCCACCAAGGCAACGAUCAGUAGGGGUUCUGAGAGGAAGGUCCCCCACAUUGGAACUGAGACACGGUCCAAACUCCUACGGGAGGCAGCAGUGAGGAAUAUUGGUCAAUGGGCGAGAGCCUGAACCAGCCAAGUAGCGUGCAGGAAGACGGCCCUAUGGGUUGUAAACUGCUUUUAUAAGGGAAUAAAGUUAGUCUCGUGAGACUUUUUGCAUGUACCUUAUGAAUAAGGACCGGCUAAUUCCGUGCCAGCAGCCGCGGUAAUACGGAAGGUCCGGGCGUUAUCCGGAUUUAUUGGGUUUAAAGGGAGCGUAGGCCGGAGAUUAAGCGUGUUGUGAAAUGUAGACGCUCAACGUCUGCACUGCAGCGCGAACUGGUUUCCUUGAGUACGCACAAAGUGGGCGGAAUUCGUGGUGUAGCGGUGAAAUGCUUAGAUAUCACGAAGAGCUCCGAUUGCGAAGGCAGCUCACUGGAGCGCAACUGACGCUGAAGCUCGAAAGUGCGGGUAUCGAACAGGAUUAGAUACCCUGGUAGUCCGCACGGUAAACGAUGGAUGCCCGCUGUUGGUCUGAACAGGUCAGCGGCCAAGCGAAAGCAUUAAGCAUCCCACCUGGGGAGUACGUUCGCAAGAAUGAAACUCAAAGGAAUUGACGGGGACCCGCACAAGCGGUGGAGCAUGUGGUUUAAUUCGAAGCAACGCGAAGAACCUUACCAGGUCUUGACAUCCUUCUGACCGCACCUUAAUCGGUGCUUUCCUUCGGGACAGAAGAGACAGGUGGUGCAUGGUUGUCGUCAGCUCGUGUCGUGAGAUGUUGGGUUAAGUCCCGCAACGAGCGCAACCCCUAUCUUCAGUAGCCAGCAGGUGAAGCUGGGCACUCUGGAGAGACUGCCAGGGAUAACCUGGAGGAAGGUGGGGACGACGUCAAAUCAUCAUGCCCCUUAUGAUCUGGGCGACACACGUGCUACAAUGGCGGUCACAGAGUGAGGCGAACCCGCGAGGGGGAGCAAACCACAAAAAGGCCGUCCCAGUUGGGACUGUAGUCUGCAACCCGACUACACGAAGCUGGAAUCGCUAGUAAUCGCGAAUCAGAAUGUCGCGGUGAAUACGUUCCCGGGUCUUGUACACACCGCCCGUCACACCAUGGGAGUCGGAAAUGCCCGAAGCCAGUGACCCAACCUUUUGGAGGGAGCUGUCGAAGGUGGAGCCGGUAACUGGGGUGAAGUCGUAACAAGGUA
rnacentral:rRNA from 1 species